UAUUCCAUAAAAGAUUUCUGUCACGGAAAAGAAUUUUGUACUUUUUUUUUCGUUACUAUUACAUCUCUCGAAAAUACGCUCCAUCUUUUCUUUCUAUAUUUCUUCUAUCAUCCUUAAAUCUGUCGUAAAACCUAAUAAAUCUGGGGACAAAUAUCUAUCUCAGUUAUUCUUUCUACCAGAAACAAAAAGGAACAACCCCAAAAUUCGCCUCUUCUUUCUCGAUUUCCAUCUUCUCCGCCAAAAUCGAAAUGUCUCUUUAUCCUUAUCAAUUUCCCACCAUAAACUUCGAAUAAUCUUUACUUAAUUUCGACUUUAAACUCAGAGUUAUGAUUUGAUUGAACAUUUAACCAUCAUCAUCUAACCUGUAACCCUAAAUUCAAAAUUGGGUGAAUCGAUUGAAUCACUUUAGAAUUGGGUGAAGUAUUCUCAGCAAAUACUUCCUGAUAAGUUGGGGUGAAUUGGGUUAAUAAUCUUCUCUUCAGGUAAAUGCCUAAUCAAAAUAAAUCUAAAAAUACCCUUAUCUUUCUUUCUAGGGUUUCCAUCUCCCUUCUUGGAGGAAGGUAAGAGGUCUCUAAUCUUGGUGCAUGCAGAAUUAUCAAUUAAGACGGAUUCAACGCAAGAUGACAUAUGUGGAAGCCCAAGACUUAUUGAGCUGCAAGAUAAGAAAAAACAAUUGUGGCGUGCUCAAAACAAAUCAAAACAAAAGGAAAUAACCGAACAAGCGUUCAAUGAAAAACGACGUAUUGCUUAUCAAAAUCGGAAGACAAGAAUGGAUGAAGCCGAUUUACAUAUAUUGUUAUGGAACUCUGUAGUUCGGAGAUGAAACAUGUCGGAAGAACAACUGGCAUAUGAACGAGAGAGGAACCGUAUUCGAGAAAGAACCCGUCGGAUAAAUAAGACGGAAGAGCAGAGGUAGAUCCUCCAAGGAAAAGCUAAAUCUUCCCUCAACAUCUAUAGGCGACAAUAAUCACCACAUAUUAGAAGAACAGCUGGCCAGUGAACGAGAAAGAAAAUGUCUUCGGCAAAGAACCCGUCGUCAAAAUAUGAAAGAGGAUCAGAGGUCGAUCGAAUAGAAGGGUGAUCGUAAUCGAUACAUAGCCGCCAAAUAAAAUAUGAACCUUCCUUCAUCAUCAUCAAGCAAUACUUCGUCAGACUUAUUUGAACAUGUUAUGCAUGAACAUGUGCAGGCAUAAGUUGAGAGACUUAUCGGUCGCAUCUCAACAGUAGGAAUGAAUACUAGCGAAGGGUACAUGGAGUUGGGGCCUCAACACAGAGGUAAGUUGUAUGUACUUGGAUUUUUCUAUUGUAUAUAUAAUGCAAUUCAAUUGGGGUGCGUCUCGAUUACAACACGGCUAAUUAGAAGGAGGGAGCGUAUAUAUAUCGAGCUCAAGCUACUAUGUAUCAUAAAAUCGGUAGCCUCAUUCCAGAACCAAGCGAUAUACCAAGGUUCUUACAGAUGUACAUCUAUGAUACCGAACAUGAAUUGGAGAAUCGGUUGAAGGAACAACAGUUUGAUGCCAAGAAAAACAAGGGUAAGGAACAUGAACAAGAGCCAUCCGAAACAUAAUAACCCCUGAACAGAGAAGUGCUCGCUAUAUUGAAAGGAAUGUUGAAUAGAAACAACCCAUAUGUGCAUGUAAUUCGUCAAAUUUUGCAAGGUAAUGGCUACUGGGAUGUUCGUCUACACAUAAUGGAGAAAACAACAUUUCGUAUGAAACAUGCCAACAUCACCAUAAGUAGCAGCUGUAUUGGUUGGGGGAAAUGAACCGAGUGAAGUGCUUCCUAGAGAUAUCAUUGUUCAAACAAAAUCUGGGAAACUUCUGAAUGUUCCCGACACAACGUGUUUUUAUGAUCCAUUACAAUAUUCUUUACGACAUCUUUAUGGAAGUUUUGGCUGGGAUUUGACGAUAUUCAGCGAUAGUACAAGAAGGAUAAGUUGUCGAGCAUACUAUGCGUAUAUGCUAUAGAUUCGAGAAAACCAGCAGUCGAUUUUGUUACAUGGUGGGAAACUACUGGAACAGUACGUGGUUGACAAUUAUGUAAAGAUUUCUACGAUACAGUUGAGAUGGGUUCGAGAUAAUCAGAGAACAAUCCCAGAUGAUUGGUACUCAGGCGUUCUUGACGCAAUAGAUUCGAAUAGAAGUAACAAAAAGCUUUACCGAACUACUUUCAUCCCUUUUGCAUCGCUCAAUAUAGAAAUGAUAUGAAAGGAAAUAUAAGAAAAAAAAUUCCUACUCUUUCUAAGACACAUAAAUAACAGUUAGAACAACUUAAACAAUUGAAAGUACAUCCAAUAGUCUUCCAUUUGGGUAAGAAUCAUAAUCGCCUCCAUAAGUGACAUUUCACUAGUACUCUACAUAUUAGAUGUAUGUGAUCAUCCUUGAUAUGAUGCAUGUAAUGAAGUGUUGUUUCUUUCGGUGUUUUAGUGCAACAAUUAUGUAUAAAGUAACUCAUUAGCAAUAAAACAAUAAUGACUUCACUAAGGAAUAUGAUGAUUAAGUUUCUCUGUGUAGUUUCUGUUUUGGAAAUACCAAUGGUUCCAUAUCUAGGUUCCCUGAUUCAAAUGCUCAGAUACUAGCACUGGAGCAUCUCUGUAAAUCAAUGAGGAACCGUUCUACUUUACAUACAAUGUAAAGAUACAUGAGAACAAACCCGGAAAAUAUAUACUGACAUCUUUGUUUUUUUUUAUCGAGAUUUCGUCUUAACUUAUGUUUAAAUAUAUGCUGACAUCUUUGUUUUGUUAUUGAGAUUUCGUCCUAACUUAUGUUUAAAUGGUUUGUGUCCCUGACAUAUCUGUUUUUUUGUUAUGAUUUUAUGUUAAAUUAUGUUUGAAUGUUUUGUUUGGGAACUUUGCAGAUGAUACAGGACAAUGGGUUAUUCUACCUCCUACUUACACGGGAAGUCCACGUGAUAUGCAUCAAAGAUAUCACGACGGUAUGGCAUUGGUUCAAAAGUACAGAAAACUUGAUUUGUAUAUAACCAUUACGUGUAAUACUAAUUGGUAAGAUAUCCAGAGAGAACUAAAACUAGGGCAACAUGCACAUGACAUGCCAUAUCUGACGACGAGGGUGUUUCAUUCUAAAUUUGAAGAAUUGAAGGUAGAUUUGUUCACUAAAGGGGUUCUUGGAAAAUUCGUUGCACAUGUUCAUGUUAUUGUAUUUCAGAAGAGAGGUCUUACACACGCACACAUUCUUAUCAUCCCGCACGAGAAAAACAAACUACGUAGCCCAUAUGACUACGAUAGGAUUGUUCGAGCAGAAAUACCAGAUGAGAAAGUUGAACCAGAGUUGUAUGCUUCUAUCCUCAAACAUAUGUUACAUACGCCAUGUGCUUUGUCUGCUGAUAGCGUCUGUAAGAAGGAUGGGAAGUGCAAGAAAUUUUUUCCAAGACAGUUUGCAGCGGAAACUCUAGAAGGCCAAGAAUCGUAUCCAGUCUAUAGAAGACAUGACGAUGGUAGAGCAAUGACACCCGCCAAUGAAAAAGUUAUGAAUAACAACUGGGUUGUUCUGUAUAAUUCGUGUCUCUUAAAGAAGUAUGACUUUCAUAUCAAUAUGGAAGUUUGUUCGAGUGUGCAAUAUGUGAAGUAUCUGUACAAAUAUGUUUGGAAAGGGGUUGAUCGUUUUUAUGGAGUUUCAAGAGAGAAAGAGGCGGAUGAUGAGAUCAAAAAAUUUGUAAAUGCUCGUUGGAUUUUCCAGAAAGAAGCUCUUUAGCGAAUAUACAUGUAUCAAAUGAAUAAGAUUUAUCCUCUGUCCUUUCGUUACAAUUACACUUAAAGGAUCGGCAAAAUAUUCUACUUCCUGAAAGAAGUACUGUGAGAGAUGUGAUACGGCGGGAAAAGGCCUCCCAUACUCAAAUGACUGAGUUUGUUUAAGAAGAACCAAGAAGAUGAGUUUGCAAGAACUCUUCUCUACAAGGAAUUUUCCAAACACUACAUAUGGGAUAAGCCAAUAAAGCAAUGGAAAGGACGGCAAUGCAACAACAAAUUCAUCGGUAGAGUUGACAUUUUUUUCUACCCGCAGCGAAAAUUAUCAUUUAAUACUUCUUUUGAAUAAUAUUAGAGGGACAACUUCUUUCGAAGACUUGCUAAAGGUGGGAGUUAAUACGUUUUCCACGUAUAAAUAAGUAGCACAACAUUUGUGUCUGUUAGAAAGUGACACUCCCAUCCGUGACACACUUAUCGAAGCCGUACAAGUAGAGAUGCCUUGGUCUUUAAGAAGUCUUUUCUGCAUGUUGUUAGACCUUUGCAACACCACAAGAUUUUGUGAAUUGCGGGAUGAAUUUUCCCCUCCAUGAUUGAAGAUCACUACCAGUUCAACAUAGAAACAGGGGCAAUCAAUCUUAUUUUACGGGAUCUAAGGUAUGUUCUCGACGAAAAAUUAAUGGUCACAUAUAAGCUCCCACCAAUCACUAAAGACAUAGGAAUUGCAAGAGUAAACGAGUUGGUGUCUGAGGAAUUCAGAAUUCCAGUUUUUUCAGAAGAUCUCUAUUGGUAUGCUAAACGCUUACCAGAAACAUGCUUUUGAUAGGAUAGUGAAUUCCGUUAAAACGGGAGAGAAAUCUAUAUUCUUCAUUAAUAGUACAGGUGGUUCAGGGAAAACGUUUCUUUAUAAGGCGAUAUUGGCUAAGUUACGAAGUGAAAGACGUAUUGCAAUUACAAAUGCGACAUCAGGGACUGCUAUAACCAUGAUGCCAGGUGAGAGGACGACCCAUUCCAGAUUUAAGAUACCCGUAUCGGAAAACUCAACUGAUACAUGCAAUAUAAGCACAAAAGACCAUUUGGAAGAUUUCAUUCGGAAAGCCGAUCUGGGACGAAGCAACGAUGGAAAACCGAUAUGCAUUUUAAGCUCUAGACAUAACGUUAAGAGGCUUGACCGAAGUUGAAUUUCCAUUUGGAGGGAAGAUCUUGGUUUAAGGUGGGGAUUUCCGUCAAGUGUUUCAAGUGAUUGAGCACGACACACGAGCACAGAAAAUUAGUGCAUGCUUAACAAACACAAAAUUUUGUAAAGAUGUUAAGGUAAUUUGUUUAAAAGAGAACAUGCGCGCGUUCAAGGAUAGACUAGCUUAUCAGAAUUCUUGCUACAGAUUGGAGAUGGGACUCAACUAUAUGUCAUGGAUGACAUUAUAAAACUUCACAUGACAUUGUAAUGAAGUGGGAAGGUGAGCAAUCUGUUGAAAGAUUAAUUGAUGAGGUUUUUCCAGAGCUUGAAAAGAAUGCAAGUGAUAAAGGUUACAUGAGUCAAAGGGUAUUGAUAACUCCCAAGAAUGAUACCUUUGAAAAGCUCGAUCAAAAGUAUUAGCAUCUUUAUAUGAGAUGAGGUAGUUUAUCAUUCCUUUGACAUGGCUCAAGAUGACCUUCACAAUUUUUGGACCGAAGAUUUUUUGAAUAGUAUUGCUCCAGGUGGAUUGCCCCCUCACAGGCUUAUACUCAAGAUAGGUGCUCCAAUAACUAUAUUGACGAACCUUGAUCCCAGUUAUGGUCUUUGCAACAACACGAGGUUACUAUGUAGAGGUCUCUAUAAAAACUUCAUUGAUGCAGAGAUCGUUACCGGUAGUUUUUCGGGGCAUAGUCUUGAUUCCAUGGAUAUCCAUGGAACCUCCCAAAGAGGUGAUACUCCCAUUCAAGUUAGUCCGCAAGAAAUUUCCAGUUCGUGCAGGUUUUACCCUCACAAUAAACAAUGCACAUGGGAAGACAAUACCACAUAUUAGUGUUUAUCUAUCAGAACCAGUGUUUAGUCACGAACAACUAUAUCUUGCUUUGUCCAAGGGAGUUUCGAGAACUACAACAAAAGUGUUAGUUAGAGUUCUUCUUGAUGUCUCUGGAACAUAUACUAAAAAUAUUAUUGUAGUACCUAAAAUUGGUGAGAGGAUAAAGUGGAAUUCUAGAGUUUCUGAAAGUAAUUUACGGGAGGUUGAGCACGAACAUUCUUCGCCUAAACCACGCACAGUGGCCGUUCAAAGGAUGCUUCAGUCAUAGGGAAGAAGGCUUAGGGAUGGUCUUAGGGAGGAAAGCAGAUGAAGAGAGAGAGAGCAGAGAACAAGUUAUUGCUCUAAGAGGUUAUGAGAAAGUUGUGUGUUAGCUUGGAGAAAUACAAGACCUAUUUAUAGUUGAAUUCUCUAAUCUCAGGUCGGCGAAGAUAGGGAUUACUUGUCAUGCGAAGAAUUUCUCUCGUCUCUUUAGGAAUAGAUAGAUAUAAACUAGGUUGAGUUUAUCUCAAUAUUCCACCGCCUUUACUCUCUUAUGCGAUGAGAAAUAAGCCGGAUAUUUCUCACACGUUCCGUAGACCACCAGGUCAAAACCCUAAUUGAUAUCCCCCCAUUUUUGUGAAGCCGAGUCAGCCUUUGUAAUGAUGUGUUAAGAGAGAGAAAUAUUCUUUAUAGCCGAUUUGGCCAAGAUAGAGAGAUAUUCUCUGAUUUGUGAUAAUGAUUAGGAUGAGUCACGUGAAAAUACAUGGAACGCCUCAGAAAUCGUGUGUAGAGUGUGAGAGAAGCUGAUAUUGAGAUCUCUCUCUCCAUGGCCGGUCACAUAUGUCACGUGGAGAUUGUAUUAUUGCUUGUGGGUCCCUUUGUUGAGCAUGGGGAGAUCAAGAAAGCUUAUCCACGUUUUUGGAUAGACAUGUACAGUUCAGGCCCAAUUUACUAGCCGUGAGUAUGUUUGAUACGCUGAUAAAUAGGCUUGAGCCCUAGGUGAGGCUUGUGCCUGAGUUUUAUGUAUGUAUAAAACUCUUCAUACGAGAUGGUUCAGUUCGGAUGAGGCCGUAUGGGGUUUGUAUAAUACACCUGAAGUUGUGAGAGCUUUAGCGGAUGCGACUGAGGCUGACAGAGGUUAAGACGACGCAACUGAGACUGUCAAAGGUUUAGCCGAUGCAAGUGAGGCUGGCAUAGAUUUGGACGAAGGGUUUGAGGCCGUGUGAUAUUUGGCCGACGGGUUAGAGUCUGUUCGAUACUUGGCAAACACGAUGUAAUCUCUCCGAUCAGGUGAGACAUGUUUAGGAGAGAAAAGAAGUAUUGCACGCCUGAUAAUGUCUUCACGAGACUUCGGAUCACUUGUCUUUGACCAACGUAUCUUGCAGGGAUGUGUUAGGAAUCAAUUGUGUCUGUAUUUAUGGGGCCGACAUGACCAGUGUAUCUCGGAAGGAUGUUUCUAGGAGUCUGUCGAAAGGGCCCAGAGGCAGAAUAACCAGUGUAUCUCGCAGGGAUGCCCUAGAAAUUAUUCGAGUCAGAUCCUAGAGUAGUGUAUCUCGCGAUGAUCUACUAGGAAUUAUCCCUUGAUCUCAAAUAGGAUGAGUUGUGCUUACAUGAGGCAUGUAUGUCUCCGCUCUGGGUCAUAAGUCCGCCGUGGAUGUUUUUACGCAUAUACAGAGCCUACCUGACCUGUAUUAUAUCGUGGGGAUGUAUACUAGGAGUCAUGGCAUCACAAUCAUUUGCGUCUCGCAAAGACAUGCUGGAAUUGUGGUUGUUCAGGUUCAUAAGUUUUCCGGAGACGUUUUACGCUUUAUAGAACCUACUGACCAGCAGUAUCUCGUCGAGGAUGUGCGCUAGGAAUCACGACCAAUAGUGUCUCUCGGGGACGUAUAUUAGAAAUCUUGGUUAUGGGUUCCUUGAGAGCCAAGGGUUUAGUCUCUCCCGUGAGAGUUGAGUUUUGUCCCAUGAUCUUGAAAUGACACUUUUUCCCCUUAUCCAAAUUUCACCAUCUACAGUUGUAUUCCAAGGUGUUCUCAGGUUAUCUGAUAUUGUUGAGUGAUAUGCUAUUGACAAUUAAGUUCCAAAUAAUAUUUUUCUUUUUAUUUUA